UACGGGGGGGGUAAGCGUUGUUCGGAAUUACUGGGCGUAAAGGGCUCGUAGGCGGCCAACUAAGUCAGACGUGAAAUCCCUCAGCUUAACUGGGGAACUGCGUCUGAUACUGGAUGGCUUGGAUUCGGGAGAGGAAUGCGGAAUUCCAGGUGUAGCGGUGAAAUUCGUAGAUAUUGGGAAGAACACCGGUGGCGAAGGCGGCUAUCUGGACCGACAUUGACGCUGAGGCGCGAAAGCGUGGGGAGCAAACAGG
rnacentral:rRNA from 1 species